GAUGAACGCUGGCGGCGUGCCUAAUACAUGCAAGUCGAGCGAACGGACGAGAAGCUUGCUUCUCUGAUGUUAGCGGCGGACGGGUGAGUAACACGUGGAUAACCUACCUAUAAGACUGGGAUAACUUCGGGAAACCGUAGCUAAUACCGGAUAAUAUUUUGAACCGCAUGGUUCAAAAGUGAAAGACGGUCUUGCUGUCACUUAUAGAUGGAUCCGCGCUGCAUUAGCUAGUUGGUAAGGUAACGGCUUACCAAGGCAACGAUGCAUAGCCGACCUGAGAGGGUGAUCGGCCACACUGGAACUGAGACACCGUCCAGACUCCUACGGGAGGCAGCAGUAGGGAAUCUUCCGCAAUGGGCGAAAGCCUGACGGAGCAACGCCGCGUGAGUGAUGAAGGUCUUCGGAUCGUAAAACUCUGUUAUUAGGGAAGAACAUAUGUGUAAGUAACUGUGCACAUCUUGACGGUACCUAAUCAGAAAGCCACGGCUAACUACGUG
rnacentral:rRNA from 1 species